UCGUUUUUCCCCUUUUCCUCUCAAAACCCUUUCUUUUUCCCGCAGCCCACAAAACCUGUCUCAGAAAAACGAUGAUCUCGGACUCAUUCACCGUUGGAUCGUCGUGAAAUUUGAUCACCACGUUCGCAACCAAAUUUCUAACAUUCUCACCGUUGGGAAUUGAAAAAUCAUGUCUGACCUUAGAGGAAAACCCUUCGCAUUGUAGCUUUUUAUUUUCCCGUAGAAACCCAAAACUGUCUCGGUAAAACUACGAUCCCGGUUUUGUUAACCGUUGGAUUUUCAUGAAAUUUGGAUAUGUUGCUCGAAAUUCAAUUGCGCACACUCUCACCGUUGGGAUUUGCGAGAUAAUAUUCGUGGUGGGAGAAAAAGGAAUCGCAUGAAGACAGUACAAGUGGAGGCUUCAAUCUCUUCUUCGUCUCUCCCUGACGUUCGAGAAUUCUAUCGGAGCAGUCGGAGGAAAAACUUGAGGAAUCUUAGGGAACCGUUAGAGAUGAUGCUAUAGCGGCUGAAGACACGUGAGCCCGCUUAGAGGUAAGGGAUGAGUUAUUCACAAUUGGGAAUUAGUGAGAACAUGUGUAGGGAUCCUUAGAGAUAUCAAUUGGAAUGAGUUUUGGGGUGUUUUUGCAAUUUUCAUUUUAUCCUUAUAAUUAUUACAGUGAAUUAUAUAUGUUUGACAGACCAAUUCUUGUGGAAUUGAUAUGCUAUUGUGUUGAGCGUGAAUCCUAUAAAUCGAGUACUUUUUCUAAUUAAUAUGAAUUGAUGAAAUAAAGGAGAAAUUUAGAGAGAGAUAUUGAUUUUGUAUUUUCUCUUUUUCUUGUUGUUUAGGUUUUUAUAUAUAAUUUAAAAAUUUAAUAUCAUAAUUAAAAUUGAUCAAAGUGUUCAUAUAAUUAUUUAGAAUUUGUGCAUUGAAAGCUUACUUUGUAAUUUGUGAUUCAAUAUGAUGUAUGCUAGCUUAUAUAUAUAUAAAGGUUGUUAUUUAUAUUAAUAAUUUAUGUAAAUAAUAUUGUAGAGUGUUAUAGUAUGAUUCCAAAAAUUAUUAAGUGUUGGAGUAUGAGAAUAUUAUGGUUAAAUUUGAUGAACAUGUGUAUGUUGUACCUUAUGAAUAUCAUUAGGAAUGUUAUGAGAUGGUUGAUGUGAUGUUAUGAGAUGUUAAAGUUUGGACAUGAUAUUCGAUUGUAAAUAAGUGAAUGUGUUUAACACUUGAUGUUACAUUAAUUAUAUCGUGAGCUACGAAUUAUACAAUAACCCGACCAAUGUUUAUGCGCAGUGUUAAAGAGAAAGUGUAGGUUCCUAGUUAGGAACCAGUGUUAAAUUGUAGCGCAAUUGUAUUAAACAUGUUUGAAACAUGAGUGUGAGGUCGUGGUAUUGUAUAGUUCAUGAGCAGUGCUUAUAAAUGAAAUAUGUGAUGAAUUGUGGAAUAAUAUGUUGCCUUGAGAUUAUAAUAUUGUUAUUGAGAUUGAGUAAAAGUGUAAAGUAGAACAGGUGUUGAAUUGUGAGAUACGUGAAAACAUGUGAUGGUGGAUUGUGACAUUAUGAGAUGUGAAAUUGUGAAUAAGUUUUGGUUGUGAAUAAAUGUGUGAUUAAUUCUUGAUGUGACAUUAUUUGUGUUGUAAGCUGUGAAUUGUACAAUAACCCGACCAGUGUUUAUGCGCAGUGUUAAAGAGAAAGUGUAGGUUCUUGUUUAGGAACCAGUGUUAAAUUGUAGCGCAAUAUGUUGUACGUGUUUAAGACACGAGUGUGAGGUCGUGGGUAUUGUAUAAUUCACUAGCAGUGUCUGUGUGCUAAAAUGAUUUUAGGGGUUGGACCUGAAUCAGGAGGGAGAGGCCCUGACGGACUCUUCGGAGUGUAGGCCUUGGGGGUCACCGGGUUUGAGUGCUCCUUUAAGCCUAUGCUGAUCCCAUAUGGUUGGAGCAUUCUCGCAAAACAUCGUGACCCUGACUGGUCUCCCUAUGAUCUUACUUAGUGAGAGUGACCUGACAAACCCAUUGUGUGGUGUGUCUUGUUAUGUACUCCUAAGCGCCCCAGGGUGGUUUUUCACUGACAUGGUACCACAUUGCAUAUAGGCUUGAGUCUUAGCAUAACUGUCUCAUGCGCUUGCUAAUUGUUUAUUAUGAAAUUGAGGUGUUAUUAUGUCUUGAUCAGAGCGUGUGAUUCCUAUGUAAUGUGAUUGAUGAUUGAAAAGUGUGAUUGAUUGAUGAAAAGUGAAUUUUGAAUGACAAAGUGGUGGAAUUACGUGAAUUACGUGUAAGUAAGUUUUAUUUGGUUUAUAUGAUAUGUAUAUCUAGUUGUCUUGUUUCUCUAUUAGUUAGGAAUGUGAUAACUCACUCCCAGUUUAUUGUUUGUGUUUGGAUCCUGUGAUGAUCUUGAACUCUGUGUUCGGGGGAGCAGAUGACUAGGUGAACUGCUUUAAGGAAUAUUGUGCUGAAGGACGUCGAGACACAACGCUCUGAUAGGAUGUGACAUUGGGAUAUAGGUUUUUAUAUUAAUUGUAUGAAGUCUCAGACGGCCUUGUUCGAGCCGAUGACUUUAUUAUUUAUUCGGACAAGUUUGAAUAUGAUGUAGAAGAAAG
rnacentral:lncRNA from 1 species